rnacentral:rRNA from 1 species
AUUGAACGCUGGCGGCAGGCCUAACACAUGCAAGUCGAGCGGAUGAAGGGAGCUUGCUCCUGGAUUCAGCGGCGGACGGGUGAGUAAUGCCUAGGAAUCUGCCUGGUAGUGGGGGACAACGUUUCGAAAGGAACGCUAAUACCGCAUACGUCCUACGGGAGAAAGCAGGGGACCUUCGGGCCUUGCGCUAUCAGAUGAGCCUAGGUCGGAUUAGCUAGUUGGUGAGGUAAUGGCUCGCCAAGGCGACGAUCCGUAACUGGUCUGAGAGGAUGAUCAGUCACACUGGAACGGGGACACGGUCCAGACUCCUACGGGAGGCAGCAGUGGGGAAUAUUGGACAAUGGGCGAAAGCCUGAUCCAGCCAUGCCGCGUGUGUGAAGAAGGUCUUCGGAUUGUAAAGCACUUUAAGUUGGGAGGAAGGGUUGUAGAUUAAUACUCUGCAAUUUUGACGUUACCGACAGAAUAAGCACCGGCUAACUCUGUGCCAGCAGCCGCCGUAACAC